rnacentral:rRNA from 1 species
UACGUAGGGUGCAAGCGUUGUCCGGAAUUAUUGGGCGUAAAGAGCUCGUAGGCGGUGUGUCACGUCGGCCGUGAAAACCUGCAGCUUAACUGUGGGCGUGCGGUCGAUACGGGCAUCACUGGAGUUCGGCAGGGGAGACUGGAAUUCCUGGUGCAGCGGUGAAAUGCGCAGAUAUCAGGAGGAACACCGGUGGCGGAAGGCGGUCUCUGGGCCGGAUACUGACGCUGAGGAGCGAAAGCGUGGGGAGCAAACAGG